rnacentral:tRNA from 1 species
ACCCCCUACGGGAUUCGAACCCGCGCUACCGCCCUUUCAAGGCGGUAGCGCGGGUCGAAUCCCGUAGGGGGUA